ACCUAAACCUGAUAGCGCCAGAUAGCCCCCGAUUUAGGCAAGUGUUUUGUAUUUAAGAUCUAUUUAAUCGGGGCUAUGGGCAAUAGCAGGACUGCAG
rnacentral:sRNA from 1 species